GAUGAACGCUAGCGGCAGGCUUAACACAUGCAAGUCGAGGGGUAUGCCGAUUUAUCGGCAGAGACCGGCGCACGGGUGCGUAACGCGUAUGCAAUCUACCUUUCACAGAGGGAUAGCCCAGAGAAAUUUGGAUUAAUACCUCAUAGUAUAGCAAUUUCGCAUGAAACCACUAUUAAAGUUCCAACGGUGAAAGAUGAGCAUGCGUCCCAUUAGCUAGAUGGUAAGGUAACGGCUUACCAUGGCUACGAUGGGUAGGGGUUCUGAGAGGGAGAUCCCCCCACACUGGUACUGAGACACGGACCAGACUCCUACGGGAGGCAGCAGUGAGGAAUAUUGGGUCAAUUGGGACGCAAGUCUGAACCAGCCAUGCCGCGUGCAGGAUGACGGUCCUAUGGAUUGUAAACUGCUUUUGUACGAGAAGAAACACUACUUACGUG
rnacentral:rRNA from 1 species